rnacentral:rRNA from 1 species
UACGAAGGGUGCAAACGUUGCUCGGAAUUAUUGGGCGUAAAGCGCACGUAGGCGGCUUUGCAAGUCCCAUGUGAAAGCCCACGGCUUAACCGUGGAAGUGCAUGGGAAACUGCAGAGCUUGAGUACUUAAGGGGAUCGCGGAAUUCCCGGUGUAGAGGUGAAAUUCGUAGAUAUCGGGAGGAACACCAGUGGCGAAGGCGGCGAUCUGGGAAGAUACUGACGCUGAGGUGCGAAAGCGUGGGGAGCAAACAGG